rnacentral:rRNA from 1 species
AACGAACGCUGGCGGCAGGCUUAACACAUGCAAGUCGAACAAGAUCUUCGGAUCUAGUGGCAGACGGGUGAGGAACACGUGGGAACAUCCCUUUCAGUUCGGAAUAACGUUGGGAAACUAACGCUAAUACCGGAUACGUCCUUCGGGAGAAAGAUUUAUCGCUGAAAGAUUGGCCCGCGUCUGAUUAGCUAGUUGGUGAGGUAAUGGCUCACCAAGGCUACGAUCAGUAGCUGAUCUGAGAGGAUGAUCAGCCACAUUGGGACUGAGACACGGCCCAAACUCCUACGGGAGGCAGCAGUGGGGAAUAUUGGACAAUGGGCGCAAGCCUGAUCCAGCCAUGCCGCGUGAGUGAUGACGGCCUUCGGGUUGUAAAGCUCUUUUGUCCGGGAAGAUAAUGACUGUACCGGAAGAAUAAGCCCCGGCAAACUUCGCGCCAGCAGCCGCCGUAA